AUUGAACGCUGGCGGCAUGCCUUACACAUGCAAGUCGAACGGUAACAGGUCCUCGGAUGCUGACGAGUGGCGAACGGGUGAGUAAUACAUCGGAACGUGCCUAGUAGUGGGGGAUAACUACUCGAAAGAGUGGCUAAUACCGCAUGAGAUCUACGGAUGAAAGCAGGGGAUCGCAAGACCUUGUGCUACUAGAGCGGCCGAUGGCAGAUUAGGUAGUUGGUGGGAUAAAAGCUUACCAAGCCGACGAUCUGUAGCUGGUCUGAGAGGACGAUCAGCCACACUGGGACUGAGACACGGCCCAGACUCCUACGGGAGGCAGCAGUGGGGAAUUUUGGACAAUGGGCACAAGCCUGAUCCAGCAAUGCCGCGUGCAGGAUGAAGGCCUUCGGGUUGUAAACUGCUUUUGUACGGAACGAAAAGCCCUGGGUUAAUACCCUGGGGUCAUGACGGUACCGUAAGAAUAAGCACCGGCUAACUACGUGCCAGCAGCCGCCGUAACAC
rnacentral:rRNA from 1 species